GGCGCGCGGCAGGGCGGCUACCGGCAGGAGCGUGAGCGGCGGCGGCGGAAGUGGUCGGCUAGCCGGCUCCCCGCCGACACCAUGCUUCCCUUGUCACUGCUGAAGACUGCUCAGAAUCAUCCCAUGCUGGUGGAGCUCAAAAAUGGAGAGACAUACAAUGGGCACCUGGUGAGCUGUGAUAACUGGAUGAACAUUAACCUUCGAGAGGUGAUC